rnacentral:lncRNA from 1 species
CGGGUGGGUGAAAGACCUGAGCUAACAUGGGGUUAGCUCGUAAAAUUACAAUAAAGCCUCGUGCAGUUUGCAGCAAGCUUUCGCCUCCAUUCUGUGUUUGGGGUGGCCGCCGUCCUGGACUAAGAUUCUGAAAGCCUCAGCUUUCUGAGGGUCUUACAGGCAACGGGUGGAGUUAAUCUUAGGAAACCACAGGCCAAGUUGUUCAAAGCGCAGGGUAGAGCUUGCCUCGAACAUCCUUUGUGCCCUCCUGUGCCGCGUCCUUGUUUUUUUUUUCUCUCCCCCCUGAAAAAUAACUGCAGACAUGGAAUGUGAUCCUAGAUAACUCAGGCUAUCAGGCUUCAUUUGGCCUGGCCCAUCAUGCAGGCUGGGUGAGCCAGCAUAAAGGGACACUAGAGGAGGUUGGGCAGACAAAGGAAGGUGAUGACAACAGGAGCUUAUGAAGGCAAAGACCUGGAAAUCUAGACCCAGCAGGAAUUCCAUUGUUUACAGGACUCUUCCCGGCCACACUGCCUCACAACUGCCCCUGGACAAAGACGGCUGCUGGUGGUAUUCCCAUUACACAGAUGAGUAAGCUAAGGCCCAGAAGGCUGAUGAUUUGCCCAUGGUUGCACAAGGGAUGAGAAAAGAACACGGGCAUCGCCCUAAGUCAACUCACUCCAGCCCCGCCGUCCUUUCCUUCCUCCCCACCCCAUGAUCAAAUGGCUGCCCGGAGUGUGCUAACUCCAUUUAGGUGAUGUCCGCUCACGUUGACUGCAAGCAAGCACCUGACGUUGGGAAAUGUCAAGGGAAAUAAAGAGAGAGGAAAAUACCUCGACCUGAAGUUACAAGCCAAAGAGACUCCAGAACCGAGGGGUAUAGCCUCUGGCCUCUGUGCUUCCAUUCACAGCCACGACCUUCACUUCACCCUCCUCUAGCCCACACGUGUGUACCAAGCACCUGCCCUGCACCAAGCCCAGGCCUGCAUGCUGAGCUUUCACCCACAACAGCCCAGUUAAGGCCCCUGCCUUCGUCAAGAGGAUGUUCUAAAGGAAGAAGAUGAGGAGACCGGGUGAGAUAAAUGGGUGUAUGUUGGAACUGAGGCAGAUACAGACAGAGCUGGUCUCAGGUGGGGGCCGAUUCCAGUCGUAUAAAUGUCAGGCUGGCCUCCGCAAGCCAGCCCACAACUUUCAAAUCAACCCCGGGAGCUGUUUCUCUCCUUAUCAGAUCAUAGGAAAACAAGUCCCUUAUUACAAAAUCAUGAGAGACACCACCUGAGAACCCAGGCAAAGCAAGAACUGAUGCAGGGCCUCAGGACAGUGACUGCUAACAAGCCAGAGCCCCAUCUCCAAGGGUAAGAGGCCAAGCCGAGCGAGCCUGAGAAAGGGCAGGUUCCACGCGUGCUGGAAUAUUGUGGGAAGAUGACAUUAUCGUCAUGUCUUCAGGGUCGAACUAGAGAUGCUUGUAAAUCAAAAUUAAAUUACACUCGGUAUCAUGAACAAGAAUUUCAGCUUCCAGGACAUCACUAUGUUUGCACACAUGUGGAUUUUAUAUUUCAAAAGAUGAUACAGUCCGCAGCCAGCCCCGCCCACCCCGGACAGUGUUCUCUCUUUGAACCUGAUGCUUCUGACAUCUCCAGUCGGUGCUUGUUUGGCAUUUAACCGUGCACCGCCUGUGAACUUGACUUGUUUUCUUGCAUGGUUUCUUAUCUCUUCUAGCACUGAACUUCUCGAGCAAUGGUGACUCAUCUAGCAGCUGGUUUACUGGGAUCUCGUCUUACCUUCGUACUGUUUUUUUUUUUUAAAGAUUUAUUUAUUAUGUAUACAAUGUUCUUUCUGUAUGCAUGCCAGAAGGCCAGAAAAGGGGACCAGAUCUCACUAUAGAUGGUUGUGAGCCACCAUGUGGUUGCUGGGAAUUGAACUCGGGACCUCUGGAAGAGCAGCCAGUGCUCUUAACCUCUGAGCCAUCUCGGCAGCCCCUUCGUACUGUUUUAACCUUGAACACUAAUGUGGCAUUCAGCUAGCCUGCACGAUUUGCUGAGCAUCUGUUGUAUCCUGGGUACUUCAUAGACAGUGGAGAGGUGGCAGUCUUAGAGAUUGUAUUCUUAAGCGGGGGAGGGGGGUAUGGCCACCACAGAGAUGAAUAAUUCAUCCUGACACAUUAAGAGAGAAAGAAGGCAAAGGAUGCAAUUCUGAAAAAGAAAUAAAAAAUAAAAAAAACAUAUGUUGACGCUAGACAGUUGUCAGAGAGGAGAAAGCAAGGUGGAGAGUGGGUCCUUGCAGAAGUCUCCUCAAAGGUGACGGAAGUCGAUGAGUGUGUGAACACGGGCACACUGGGUGUGCUUCCCAACUGCAGGGUGAACAGCCUUCCUUAAACACGUCAUCACAAACCGUGUGACUGAAAGGGUUUUGAUCGCUGCACACGUGUGUAUAAUAUAUAAUUAUAUACAAGGGA